rnacentral:rRNA from 2 species
UGGGGAAUAUUGCACAAUGGGGGAAACCCUGAUGCAGCGACGCCGCGUGAACGAAGAAGGUAUUCGUAUCGUAAAGUUCUGUCCUAUGGGAAGAUAAUGACAGUACCAUAGAAGAAAGCUCCGGCUAAAUACGUGCCAGCAGCCGCGGUAAUACGUAUGGAGCGAGCGUUGUCCGGAAUUAUUGGGCGUAAAGGGUACGCAGGCGGUUUAAUAAGUCGAAUGUUAAAGAUCGGGGCUCAACCCCGUAAAGCAUUGGAAACUGAUAAACUUGAGUAGUGGAGAGGAAAGUAGAAUUCCUAGUGUAGUGGUGAAAUACGUAGAUAUUAGGAGGAAUACCAGUAGCGAAGGCGACUUUCUGGACACAAACUGACGCUGAGGUACGAAAGCGUGGGGAGCAAACAGG